AGAGCGAACGCUGGCGGCAGGCUUAACACAUGCAAGUCGAGCGGGCGUAGCAAUACGUCAGCGGCAGACGGGUGAGUAACGCGUGGGAACAUACCUUUUGGUUCGGAACAACACAGGGAAACUUGUGCUAAUACCGGAUAAGCCCUUACGGGGAAAGAUUUAUCGCCGAAAGAUUGGCCCGCGUCUGAUUAGCUAGUUGGUGAGGUAACGGCUCACCAAGGCGACGAUCAGUAGCUGGUCUGAGAGGAUGAUCAGCCACAUUGGGACUGAGACACGGCCCAAACUCCUACGGGAGGCAGCAGUGGGAAUCUUGCGCAAUGGGCGAAAGCCUGACGCAGCAACGCCGCGUGAGUGAAGAAGGCCUUUGGGUUGUAAAGCUCUUUCGACUGAGAAGAAGGGUUUCGUUGUGAAUAAUUACGGAAUCUGACGGUAUCAGCAGAAGAAGCCCGGCUAACUUCGUGCCAGCAGCCGCGGU
rnacentral:rRNA from 1 species